GUAGGUGGCAAGCGUUGUCCGGAAUUAUUGGGCGUAAAGCGCGCGCAGGCGGUCCUUUAAGUCUGAUGUGAAAGCCUACGGCUCAACCGUGGAGGGUCAUUGGAAACUGGGGGACUUGAGUACAGAAGAGGAAAGCGGAAUUCCAAGUGUAGCGGUGAAAUGCGUAGAGAUUUGGAGGAACACCAGUGGCGAAGGCGGCUUUCUGGUCUGUAACUGACGCUGAGGCGCGAAAGCGUGGGGAGCAAACAGGUUUAGAUACCCUGGUAGUCCACGCCGUAAACGAUGAGUGCUAAGUGUUAGGGGGUUUCCCGCCCCCCUUAGUGCUGCAGCUAACGCAUUAAGCACUCCGCCUGGGGGAGUACGGCCGCAAGGCUG
rnacentral:rRNA from 1 species